GGACUACUGGGGUAUCUAAUCCUGUUUGCUCCCCUUGCUCUCGCGCAUCAGCGUCAGGUAUAAACUAGAAAAUCGCCUUCGCCACUGGUGUUCUUCCACAUAUCUACGCAUUUCACCGCUACACGUGGAAUUCCAUUUUCUCCGUCAAUCCUCUAGAUAAGCAGUUUUAAUUGCUGCUCCGAAGUUGAGCUUCGGAAUUUCACACUUAACUUGCUCAUCCGCCUACGCGCCCUUUACGCCCAAUAAAUCCGAUUAAUGCUUGCACCCUCCGUAUUACCGCGGCUGCUGGCAC
rnacentral:rRNA from 1 species